rnacentral:snRNA from 1 species
UGAGAGAAUGAAUAAUCCAAAGA